UAUGAUUCCUCUUCCUUUACGUGAAUGCUACAAAGUCACAAGGAGAGAUUGUAUGCUUGAGAAAGAUACCUCAGUGGAGUAUCGCUCAAUAGCAAUGCUUCAACAAUUACCAAGAUUCAAAACGUCUACCAAGCAGAAAAAAGGAUUCAGUGUGAAAAUUCAAAAUUCAAUAGAAAAACACGAUGUCAAAGACAAUUCAUAUCUCUUCCAUUUCGAAUUAUUCUAGAUUUCAUUGAUCUCAUGGGAGAUGCUGGAAAGAACUAGACGAGAAGAAAGAAAGAAACAAACAAACAAUUCAGACCUCAAUGCAUAACAAGAAAAUUAUUAUGAAAGUCGAUAUCGGGAAGAUAAGCAUCUAGACUAAAAGUGUAAUUUCAUGAUAGCGACACGAAAUAGGGUCAUGUAUGUUAAGCGAGGGGACUGUUAUAAGGACAUGGAAUUGCCAUUUUUUCUGAAAGGCAACAUUUUUUUUUUUAAUGCUGACAACACAAAAAUCCAAUGUUUUUUUUUCUUAUAGAUAACUGCCAUAACGAUUUAUCGAAUCCAUUACACAGAAAAAAUUGCUUUUACUAUUUUUAUUCUCUUGGUUGUAUCAAGUAAACAUGAACCGGUUACUACAUGAAAUAGGUACCACGUUAUCUAUAAUAAAGCAAAAAUCCUUAAUGAUUAAAGACAAAAUAAUAUCAAAACAUUUCCUUA
rnacentral:lncRNA from 1 species